AUUGAACGCUGGCGGAAUGCUUUACACAUGCAAGUCGAGCGGCAGCGCGGGGCAACCUGGCGGCGAGCGGCGAACGGGUGAGUAAUACAUCGGAACGUACCCAGUCGUGGGGGAUAACACAGCGAAAGUUGUGCUAAUACCGCAUACGACCCGAGGGUGAAAGUGGGGGACCGCAAGGCCUCACGCGAUUGGAGCGGCCGAUGGCGGAUUAGCUAGUUGGUGAGGUAAAGGCUCACCAAGGCGACGAUCCGUAGCGGGUCUGAGAGGACGGCCCGCCUCACUGGAACUGAGACACGGUCCAGACUCCUACGGGAGGCAGCAGUGGGGAAUUUUGGACAAUGGGGGAAACCCUGAUCCAGCCAUUCCGCGUGAGUGAAGAAGGCCUUCGGGUUGUAAAGCUCUUUCGGCAGGAACGAAACGGUCGUCGCUAACAUCGAUGGCUAAUGACGGUACCUGAAGAAGAAGCACCGGCUAACUACGUGCCAGCCGCCGCCGUAA
rnacentral:rRNA from 1 species